AGUAUUUGACAGUGAACCUUUGGAGAUUGACAAGACCAGGAUUUGUGUGGCCACAUUCACGAGUUAUAUGAGUGAUGCAGAAGCUGGUGGUGCCACUGUCUUCGCAGACAUGGGGGCUUUGAUUUCGCCCAAGAAGCCCCAUUCAGGUGAGAAUUUGGAAGAGUGCAGGUCUGGAGCAAGGGAAGGCAGACUAGGACAAGUCCCAGAGAAGGAGACAGAGGAGCAUGC